GAAACCCAUAUAAACUAGUAUCAGUACCUUCCUCCCUGUGAAGGACAAGCUCAAAGACCUGAAUGGUCAACAAGGAGAGAAGGGCCUACCAGAUAACAGGACAUGCUGACCAAACAGCAUGAAGCAGCUCCCUGGAACUUCAGGUGUCUGUAAGACACCUGAGACUCAGCACUGGAGUUCUCCAGCUCUCAAGGUAUUGAAGGAGCAGCAUUAAUUCUAGACAAUGAGUCCAUACAGCAACUGUUGAAGAAGUUGAUGAAGAAAUCAGACUUCAACUGGAGAUAUGAAUGGGACCAAUCUGGUUAUGACUAAGAUACAGAGAACUGUCUGUGAUUGAAGAAAAACAUUCUGGAAGCAUACACAUGGUUUUCUAAUGCUAACUAUAAGGAAUAAAAAUGUCAC